rnacentral:lncRNA from 1 species
CAAUUAUGAUCCUUAUGAAAAUUCUUUUCUAACAAUCACAUUACUGUGGCCACAGACUCUCGGACUUAGCCUCUCAAAUCUCAUAAGAUUACCUCUUUCUAUCAAGAUCGAUAGAUUCCAUCUUGAUGUGCAUCCUACUCCUAUAGUGGACCAACUGUCGCCAACAUCCACUACAAUGGCUCAUUGAGAUCAUGUUUAUGUAUUAGUCAAACUUCAGCAGCCUCACUGCGAGCAAUCAUACCAUCAC